rnacentral:tRNA from 1 species
AGCAGGGUGGUGCAGCGGAAGUGUGCUGGGCCCAUAACCCAGAGGUCGAUGGAUCGAAACCAUACUCUGCUA